AUUCAAGCAGUUUAUGGUCAGAUUUAGCGACCAUACGUGCACAACGGCAAAGCCUUGCAUCCAAAUACAAGCAUUUGUAGUUCCUUUUCGCUUGUAUAUAACCUUCCUGUGUUGGUGUGAGCAACUUUGAUCUUUGAUAUAGUGACCAGCUUCCUGGAGCAGUCGGCGGAAGAUACGUUCUUAACUGUGUCUGCAAGCUGUGUCAAGAAUUUAUCAAAGUUGCUGACUCCUAACACUCAGGAGAGCAAUACCAUGGUACAUAUUAUAAAUGAAGACCCUUUUUUCCUGGCCCACUGGCUAUAAGUAAAUUUGAUGCAAACAGGCAAGGAAAGCAGCACGCUAGGGUGUUUACUGAUUUCUUUGUGUUGCGACUGUGAUGGUUUGGGUGGACCCAGUUAGAGCUAUCUGUAAAAAGGCAAUGCAUGAAAAUGUCUCCCCUGUAAAAUAAGCCAUGUUUUUAUUUUUAACAACCCUGAGGCAUUCCAAAACAUAUCAGAGCCUUCCUGAACCAGAACAAAGUAAAACAUGACUUUUAUCCUAAAGUACCCGUAAUCCGGGCAACCAGUGCCAAAUGGGGAGUGAAUCAUAGGCUUGGAAGAGAAGUCAGGGACGUUCUUUUAAGCACCGAGAAAACCUUGUUUUAUCAGGUGAUUCCCAUAGGGAAUUUUCCUGUUUUGAGCUUUUCUAUGGCUAAUGAGUGACAUUGCUGGAUAAUUUUGGUCAUUCUAAUGGCAGGUGCAAUUUUGGGGGGUGAGGGGAAAGGUUAAAAUCCCUCCCUUACUUUAGAUGUUGUGUAUCCUGCUCCUCUGCGAUGUAGCUGGCACCACUGUCUGUGCUUGUGGGGACAGUGAGAGGAGCUACUGGAGACAACGACAGCUCUUGUGCAAGGCUGCAGCAAGGCAGGAUCAUGCCGCCGCUCCUCCAGUUGUCUGCCGGAGACAGCGAAGUGCUCACAGCUGGGAGGCCCCAGGACUGCAAGGCUGGUGGGCAGCUAUUUUUAACCUGGAUGGGUUCUGUGAUUUGUUUCGCACACAGCAUUCAAACUGGCACAGCUGAGGGAAGAGCGAGCGCUGGGAACAGGAGAAGGGAAAGCAGGGGCUGCUUAUGUUGGCACUGCUACUAAAAGAAGUACUCAUCAAACUGAAGCCUCAGUCUCUUCGCAUCUCACAUCUGUAAAGUGGAAAUGAUGAUAGCCUCACAUCACCUCUCUGAAAGGAUCAAACUGGUAGCUGCCGUAAAAGCCUGUGUAACUUGUCAGAGCAAUUCUCUACCCUGGCAAGUUACACAAGCCGCGGAGCUGCUCUCUGCCCCUGGGCGUCCUGCCUCCCUCUGCCUUCUGCCUGCAUGGGUGACUCCUCCUCUCCGUCCUUCUUCAAAGGCAUCAGCUAUACUCACUUUUAGGGAAAUUGGCAGAAUUCUCCUUAGCUGCACCGCGGGACAUGGUGAGACCCCUCGACAACGUAGCAGUUUCUUCCCGCCUUUCCUCCCUUUGGAAGUGUUGCUCAAAUAAAAGGGAAGCUUGAGCCUCCACUGAAAUAAACAUAAAAAAGAGACAGACUGGGAUUGCCAACCUGCAACGUGCUCUGUAUUUGAUUUCCUCUCGCAGUCUGUACAGAUCUGCCUGCCUGCGCAAAUCUGUUUAGUCAUGUUGCACGGCUGGGCUGGAUGGGGCUCUUUGCUGCAGGACUAGAGCUCUUUCCCAGGUCUCCUCAACAAUCAGAUGUUUGCUGUGCCAGGGAGCCGGUGUGCUCCCUUCGUCUGAAUUUAGUUGGCAGCCAGGGGCUCCAGAGGAUGAAGGGGGACCAUGCAGAGCUUCCGUAACAAACCAAGUUUUAGCAAGGGGACUCCCUUUUAUUGAAGGGCUAGAAAUAACCAUGGCCCUACCUGCAAUGUCUUUCAGUGGCCAAUGUGCUCUGGAGCGGGCCAGUCUGCCUCUCAGGUCUCAAUGGGUUUCGUGAACGAUGGAGGGACCCUUUGCUUCAGUGGCUGCCUUUGCUGCAAGAGAUGGGCCACGGCUCUGAGGUACCUUUAUGAUCCUCUGCUUCGAGAGUUGGCCUGGGACCAGUCCAGCACCUGAUCUCAGACGAUUUAUGGCCCUGGAGCGCAGCCACAUUCUCAUGGUUACAAAGGCGUGUGGACGCGGCCUGGCGCUGCCCUGUCCUCCCAGAGCAUGCGGGUGAGGAAGCGCAGGAGGUGUGAAAUGCUGGUGCUUGCAGUUGUGGUAACUAUUGAUCACCACCUCCGUGGGUUAUUGAAGGCAAAAGAUACAGUGAGAACACGACUGAGCUCCCUCACUUGCCCAAAAUCCACACGUGCCUCCAGGUGAUGCAAACCCUUCCUGGGACUUGACUGUAAUUACAAAUGUGUUUUUUCUUCACAAUAGUAGGUGCCAACUCUUCUUAAGGGGUUUAGCUGCUCCCACAGUUGCUCCUCAUAGCUGGCGGUGGCCCCUCCACUCUUUCUCCAGGGCUUGCUGUCGUUAGGUCCUGGUUGGAGACCAGCAUCCACUGACACUACUAGCCUGUGGAAACACUAACUUGUUUUUUAAGUAGAGAUUGGGUGUAAUAGUCAUUCAAUGAUUCAAUGAUCUCUGUCUUCCCUGAACAGAAAAUACAUGUCUGCCCUACCAAAGCCACUCUGCAGGCAGCAAACCUUUGCCAUAUGACAAGGAUAUAUAGACUGCUGUUACACUCUCGCUGCGCUGUGUGACUUUAGCUAGGAUGCUUAGCUAUGUAUUUCUCAACA